UAUUUCUUAAUCCGGAGAAUUUGAGGUAG
rnacentral:piRNA from 1 species